CCUACACGAAAGAAGAAGUUUCAUUUUGGCUAAACCUUAUGAGUUCUCUUCGAUUGAAAAAUUCUCUGGAUUUCGCCCACCUUAUGCGGUGGUUUAUCAAGCGUUUCAAAAUCUUGGUCUUUUGAGUUUCUUUAACAUCCGAUUUCUUAGAUCUAGUUAUGUGUUUAUGCACCUCACAUAGAGUAAGGAUAUGGCUCGUGUGUGGCUCCGGGGUGUAUGGUUCAUUGGAGGUGUGCCGUUGAGAAUCUUCAAGUGGAUGCCACACUUUUCUUAUGCUGCUGAAUCUUCAGUAGUGCUUGUGUGGGUGCACUUUUCGGACCUUCCAAUCCAUAUGUUUAACAAGGCGAGCCUUUUCUCUACUGCUAGCAUUAUAGGGAAGCUGAUCAAAAUAGAUGAAGCUACGACAGAUUGCUCGAGAUUAUCAGUAGCAAGGGUGUGUGUGGAAAUUGAUUUGCUCAAACCAAAGAUUGAGGAUUUAUGGAUUGGAAUAGGAGAAGAGAAGAGGUUACAAAGAGUGGAAUUUGAAAAGCAUCCCAAUUAUGUGUUCAGUGUUUACAUCUAGGACAUUCUGUUGAGGAUUAUUAUGCUAAAGGAAACAAUGAGAGACCUCCAAGGAGGGCUGUUAAUUUGGACUCUAAAGCUGGUGGUGAAGACUUAAGAGAGUUGUUAAAUAGACAGAAGCCAUUUGGUACAGAAAAGCGGGAUGUUGAGCCUUCUUUUGAGCCAAGGGCAGAAGGUUUACAGAUAGCAGAAAAGUAGGUUUGGAUGCAAAAGAAAGGAAACUCAAUUGAUUUGGCUAAGAAGAACAAAGAUGGUGGUGUGAGAGAAUAGGUUUCAUCUUUUGAAUGGUUUGGAGGAGGAGGAAAAAGAAACUCAGAAGAGGCAAUGGAAUAGGUGGUGGAUGAAAUGGGCUCUGGUGUAAAAGGAGGUAAGAGUGAUUUAGAGGGGUUACGUGUAGUAACAAAAAGCAUUUUGGAAGAAGAGGAACAAGAUUUAGAUGAGUUGGAUGCUCAUCUGGCUACUGUUUUGGGUUCGGUUCCUGUGGACAGUCAAAGCAAUGUAGUAAGUGAUGGGAUAAGGAGGGAUAAGGGGAAAUCAGUGGUUGAAGUUGUAAAUCAGAAGGCAUCCCAAUAGGUUGUGCAAGUUAAGAAUUUCGCUGUGGGAAAAAACAAUCAGAAGGGGCAGAGUCAUGUUCCAGCUCAAAAUCAGAUCAAGCCAAUCUUGAAGGUGACUAUAGGUUCUAAACUAGCUGGACGGGUGGCAAACCAGAAGGUGCAGAUUGUGUUAAAUCUUGAGCAGAAGGUUUCAACAGGAGGUGGUGUUCUUUCUUUACAGAGUCAAUUUGGUUAUGUGGGAUUGGCAGGAAUACAAGAUGCUAUAGGAUGGCUGCCACUUCGACUGUUAGAACUGAAAUUUGUACUGAGCCAAGGGCAUCCAAACAGCAAGAUAUUGUUACUGGGGGUUAUGAGGUGUUUGGGACAAAACUGAAGGAGCUGAUGGGGCCUUGUGCUCUUAAUCAAGAGAAUUUAGAUUCUGGACAGUGAGAAAAUUCUUCAUAUACAGGUAUGCAGGAUGAAUCUAAAGGGAAUGAGGUGUCUAAGUCUUUUAUGGAUGAGGAUGAUUCAGAUUAUGAAGAAGCAGUGGAUUCACAGUUAUCUGCUUCUUUUCCUCAGGCUUUUGAUGCUAAGGAUCUGCUGAAGACUUCUUCUAUUAAUAUACCAUUGGGGGUUACUCGAAUGGUUACUAGAAGCAAAUCUCAGGUACCUAAGGCUCGUUCUUCCUCUAAAUUUUAAAUGUCAGGUUUAAUAUGGAAUAUAAGGGGGUUAGGGAAUAAUGCUUCUCUUAGGAGGUUAUUGUAUUUGAAGAAGCUACAUCAUAUUAAUUUUAUGGGGAUCUUGGAGCCUUUCAUUCCUCUUGAUGCUAAUUUUAUCACUAGGAGGUUGGGUUUUGAUGGUGCUAUUUCUAAUUGUUCUGGUAAGAUUUGGUUUUUGUAUGACCAUACUAUAGUUUGCAAUGUGUUAGUGGAUCAUGAUCAGUUUCUGCAUCUUAAAAUCUGCUCUCCUAUUUUUUCUAUUUCCAUUUUGGUAUCUGUGGUAUAUGUGAAAUGUCAUAGAAUUGAAAGAAGGAUUUUAUGGGUUGAUUUAUUGGUUGUUAAGCCAGUUAUGGAUGAAUUUUGCUUAGUAGGAGGAGAUUUUAAUGUAAUUACUGGUAUGAAUGAGCAUUCGGCAGGAUCUCUUGCUAAACCUAGUGCUACUUAUGAAUUUAAUAAUUUUUCAAAUGUUAGCUGGACUUCUAGAUGCUGGCUUUGUGGGUGAUAGAUUUACAUGGACUAAUGGCAAAGUUUGGAAGCGUUUGGACAGGAUCUUGGUAUCUCCAUCUUGGGGGGAUCAAAAUUACAUGGUACGAGUGGAGCAUUUGAGUAGGGUAGUGUCGGACCAUUGCCCUCUGCACAUUUCUAUCCCCAGCUUUAGUUUGCCAAAGGCUUCAUUUUGAUUUCAGAAAAUGUGGACCAAGCACCACAAUUUUUAUCUUACAGUUCGCUUGAAUUGGUUGCUGCCAUGUUCUGGUUUUGGCCUUCAGAAAUUUCAAUUUAAACUUAAAAGACUGAAGGCUCAUUUGAAAUGGUGGAAUGCAGAGGUAUUUGGUAACAUUUUUGAGAAUGUUAAGAAGGCUGAGGAGGUUUUCGAAUUGGCAGAAAAGGCUUUUGAUCUUUCUCCUACUAUGGAGAAUAAAAUUUACAUGGCUAAGUGUCAAGCCUCUCUUUUUCAUACGCUAGAUAUGGAGGAAAUGUUCUGGAAACAAAAGGCGUCUGUAAAAUUGUUUGGGGGAAGGUGAAAGGAACAUUAAAUUUUUUUUCAUAAUCUGGUAUUGAAAAGGAGGAUGUCAAGCAGGAUUUUUAGAAUUUGGGAAGAAGGGGUUUGUUUGGAGAGUAAUGACCUUAUUCAGGCUUCUAGAGCUCACUUCUUUGAAGAACUUUUAACAGGGGAGGACUUUGUCUGUGAUUUUGUGAGUAUGGAUAUUAUUCCGCAUUUAGUGAGUUGAGAGGAAAAUCAGGUUUUGUCAGCCUUACCUUCUUUUGAGGAAUUAAAGCAAGUGGUAUGGGAGAUGUGUGAAGAUAGUGCAGCUGGUCCGGAUAGUUUUUCUGUUGCUUUUUAUGUGGCCUGUUGGGAUAUUAUUAAAGAGGAUUUGUUUCAAGCUGUUUUGGGUUUUUCCAAGGGGGUUCUCUCCCCAAAGGUAUGACAGCUACUACUAUUAUGCUUAUUACUAAAACUGAAAAUGCGCAAUGUUGGCAAGAGUUUAGACCAAUUAGUUUAUAUAAUAUUUCAAAUAAAGUUAUAGCGAUGUUAUUGGCAAAUCGGUUGAGCUUGGUGCUGGAGAAACUUAUAUCUCAGUCACAGAGUGGCUUUGUAGCAGGGAGAUUAAUUUCAGAUAAUAUUUUAUUGGCACAAGAAUUUAAUCAUAAGCUGAAUUAUCAUGCUAAAGGAGGAAUUUAAUAUUGAAAUUGGAUAUGACCAAGGCAUAUGAUAGAAUUCAAUGGAGUUUUUUGUUUAAAGUUAUGGCUGCUUUUGGUUUCUCUGGAAAGUUUAUUGAUUUAGUAAGGCGGUGCAUUGGUGAGUGUUGAUUUUUUGUGAGAAUUAAUGGACAAUUGUUGGAUUUUUUUCCUUCUAAAAGGGGUUUAAGGCAAGGUGAUCCGAUAUCCCCUUUGUUGUUCAUUAUAGCGGCAGAAUUUUUAUCAAGAGGGUUGGAUGAUUUAUUUUCUAGAUAUCCUCAAAUGUGUUUUGAAUCCAAUUGUGCUUUGAAGCUAUCUCAUUUAGCUUUGCGGAUGAUGUCAUGAUUUUGAUGAAUGGAUCACUUAAUUGUGUUAAAAGGAUUCAGAAGUUCCUGGACUCAUAUAUGGUGUCUUCGGGGCAAUCCAUAAAUGCUGCUAAGAGUUUUUUUUUAUCCUUCUAAGAUAGUAUCUACAGCUAGAAGGGGGCAAAUUGCAAGUAUUACAAGUUUUAGGGAAAGGGCUGCACCAAUCAUGUAUUUGGGAGUUCCUAUAUUUUCUGGUAAUCGAAAGGUAGUUUAUUUUCAGCCCCUUUUAGAGAAAGUGAGGGCAAGGAUGCUAGGUUGGAAUCUCUCAAGGUUUUCUUAUGGUGGUCGGCUUAUCUUAUCCAAAGUAUUUUAUGCUCUAUGCCUUUUUACUUAAUGCAGGUUGUCCUUCCUCCAUUAUCUAUUUUACAUCAAUUAGAGAUGUUGUUUGCCAACUUUUUUUGGGGUUCUACUAGUUCUAACAAGAAAAUACACUGGAUUAGUUGUGUUGAGAUUUGUAAACCAAGACUGGAAGGUGGUUUGGGGAUACGAAGGCUUUCGGAUGUUGCUAUGGCGGUUACUUUGAAAUUCUGGUUUUGGUUUAGGGAGCAAAAAUUUCUUUGGCCAAUUUUUAUGAGUAAAUUGUAUUGUGGUAGAGUUUCUCCAAGUGCGGUUCUUCUAAAAAGUAAUGCUUCUUCAGUUGGCGCAAACUUUUGAAGAUACGCAGCCAUGGAGAGAGGAAUAUAGGCUGGGUUCUUGGAAAUGGUGAUAUUAGAUUUUGGUAUGAUAAUUGGUUGGAUUGUGGUCCUCUUUACCUUUCUUCCCAAUUUCUGGUAAUCUGGAUAGCAAAGUUGCAGAUUUUAUUUGCAACUUGGGAUGGAAGGUGAAUAAGCUUAAAGGGGUUUUACCGGAUCAGAUUGUUGCUGAAAUUGUGGACUUUCUGCCUAUUAUGGAGGGGAUCCAUGAUCGGGCAGAGAAUGUAGAAGGGGCUGGAUAUUCGGGUGUGAGAGAUUGCAUUGUAUGGAAGUCAUCUUUGGAUGGGAGGUUUUCUAUGAAAUCGGCAUGGCAAUGCAUUUGGGAGGGUCAGCAACAGGCUAUUUUUGGACAGUGGAAUGGGAUCUGUAGUGCAGUUUGGAGUAAGCUUUUAUAUCCAAAUAUUUCUAUUUCUGUUUAGCGUUUUCUAAGGAAGCGGUUGCCAGUGGAUGAAGAGCUGCAAAGGAGGGGAGUUUGAUUAGCUUCUAAAUGUUAUUGCUGUGAUUUUGUGGAGUCAUGGGAUUAUUUGUUUUUUCAUGGAGCUAUUGCAUUAGAAGUGUAGAGAUAUUUUGCUCAAUUGUUUGGUGUUGAUCGUUUUUUGUUUUUUGAAAAGUGGAGGGUUGGCUGGUCCUGGUCUCAUGGUGGUCAUAUUAGGGAAGUUAUUCCUUUUUUGAUUAUAUGGUUUCUAUAGUGUUCAAGAAACGAUGCUAAGCAUCGUGGCGUAAAGCAUGUGGCAAAGAAGAUUAUUUGGCAAGUUGCCCAUUAUCUGAUUACUGAUUUGGCUGCGGGAUUCAUUAAGCCAAAGGCAUUGGAAGGGCUUUAUUGCUGUGGCUCAUCAUUUGGGGGUUCUAGUGAGGCCAAAUGUUGUUAACACCAUUUCGGUGGUGAGAUGGAAGAAACCAAAGGGUGGAACCUUUAAGUUGAAUACGGAUGGCUGCUCGAAGGGGAACCCAAGUUUAUCUUCCUUUGGGGUUAUUGUACGAGAUCAUGAUGGUAAAGUGGUGUUGGCAAAGUCUGAAUUAAUUGGACUUGGGUCGAACGUUAGAGCUGAAUUGGUAGCUAUUCCUAAAGGGCUGGAAUUAUGUGCGGAGAAUCAAUUAUUUCCAAUUUAGCUUGAGUCUAAUUCUUUAGUAGCUUUGAAGAUAUUGUCAUCCUUUUAUUUCUCUUGGGAAUUUCGUAACUUGAUACGUAAAAUCAGAGGUACUAUUUGUAAGUAUCAAGUGUUUUUCUCUCAUGUGUAUAGAGAGGCUAAUGUGGCGGUUGAUUAUAUUGCUAAUCAAGCUUUUAUUUCUGCUUGGGAAAGUGUCUUUGAGUUUGAUAAGGAAUUUUGUGGAAUUUGCUGUUUGGAUAGGAGUGGUAUAUUCGGUUUUCUUCUAAGCCAGUUUAAAAUGUUGCAUGUGCUCUGGAUUUGGGAUGGCAAAGGAGUUUUUGGGAAUCUGGAUUUGUUUUGCUUGGUGGUGUAUCUGCAGUUGUUUAUUUGUGUUGGUUUCUUCUAUGCCUUUUCAUUCUGGCGCUUCAGUUUUUGUUGAAGCUGGUUUUUGGUACGUUUUCAUUUGGAUAUGUAUAGUGGUGGAAUUCAGGUAAUCUCUUGGUCUUUUCUGGUGGAGCUAUGGAUGAAGGUAUUGUUGCAGAUUUUUUUCUUGAUAAAGAAGCAGGUUUUGGAGAUAGAUUAUCUUUUGUGUUCUUUCAUAUUAUACUUGAAUUAUUGUCUUGGUUUUCUUGUGCCUUGGUGGUUUCGGUUUGGCCUUCUUCAAGUGUUGAUUGUGGUGGUAUGGUAUACAAUAAAGUCAAAGUGUAUAUAUGAGAUCUGUUGCUGGCUUUGGUUGUGGAUGUGCUCAGGAUUAUGGUGCUGUCGGCAAAUGCAAGUCUUAAUGGUGUUUGGGGUGCGGAAAUUAGUGGUGGAUCUUUUUGUUUAUAAUCACUUGGAUGUGGAGGAAUUUGAUUAUAAGCUGGUUUUGAAUUGGAUAUGUAUAUGGUGGUGGGAGAAAUGUUUUUUGGUUUUUUCUGGUGGAGCUUUGGUUGAAGGUUUGGUGCAGAUUUCAUUUGGAUAAGAAGUAGAGAUUGGAAAAAUGGUUUUCUGUGUGACUCACCAAAUUAUGGUUUAAGUAUUGUCAUGGUUUGUUGUGGUGGUAUGGUAUACAAUAUAUUCAAAGUUUGGUGAGCUUAUCUAAUGUGGACUUUGUGAUUGUUUGGUUUGUUUGCACUUUAUGUGGUGGAUUGUUUGUUGGACUGUAUGUGACAGGUGUGACUGUUUGGUGAGCUUAUCCGCUGUGGUGGAUGUUUUCCUGCUACGGACUUGUGCGGUGAUGAAGUAAGUGGAAAUGGUGGUGUUAGUCUAGCCCUGAGCAUAGUUCAGAACUGAUGAUUUUAAGAUGUUUUAUACUGCUCGGGCCUUUUAAUGUGCAAGUGUUGGUGAAGUAUGGGCAUAGAUGUAGAGAUGUGCAGAUGGCUUGACUGGUUCUAUAUUUUGGUGUUAUGCAUGCUUGUUGCUGGUUUGCUUCUGUACCCAGGAACUUGUUUGUUCUAUGAGGUUUGGAAAAUUUUUGUGAGCAGGUUGUGUAUAGCUGUGAUCCAUAUGAUGACUGCUAUGCUGAUGUUAAGGUUUUGUAAAGCUCUGUUUUGAAAACUUUUACAGAGUUAGUUUCUUACUUUUCAGUUCCUGUAAAGCAGUUGGAGUCCUUGUAAUAUGCUAUACUAGAAGGUCGGGUAUGGUCUCCUUCUAGUAUGGUAUUCCUUUCUUUUAUAAGAAAUGAUAUGU